CUGACAACACGCUAGACAUGGGGCUUCAUCAUCAUCAUCAUCACCUCCACCACCAGCGUUACCAGCCAAACACUCCCAUCAGAGUGAUGUGAUGAUACACUUCUGUAAUCACCAGCUGGCAGAUUUCUGCGGGUAACGUUAGUUGCAGUAUGUGAAUCUGUAGUUGGCCAUUGCAGCACCAUGGACAGCAACAGCUGCACUGAGGAAUACAAACAGUUGGAGCCAGGAGACUUAAUAGUUGGAUCAAUGACGUGAACAUGAGUUCCAUCAACAGCUCCAACAACUCCAGGAAAGCCCACAAUCCUCAUAAAAGUGGCUUGUUUUUGCAGCAUGGUUUGACGGUCAGUUAGAAGGUCAAUGAACUGUCCUAUAGUAGUGGCCAAAAUUGAUGUCCAGCCUAGGAAAUUUGACAUCUUCACCCUUAUUUAAAAAAAACUGUUAAAGAUUUUGUAAGCAUGUUGCAUAGUUGCUCACAGUCAAUUGUUUUAUUUGUGAUAAUAAUGCAAUGAAACAUACCAAAUUGUGCGGUCAUACUUUUUGGCCAUGCUGUCAUGCAAAGAAAUUAUGAACACAUGCAAAAACAAGAGGACCAACGAAAUAUCAAUAACUGAUGAUGUUGUUGUAAAUAUCAAUGUUGCCAAUUUAGUGACUUCCUCAACCCUUUUGAGACUUUUUUCAAAAGCCUAGCAACAAAAUCAAUUUCUUGAACAAACCUUAUAUAGAUUCCAAGACUCCCCCACUGAUCUAUAUGUAUAUAGAUCAGUGAACUUGCCAUUCUGACGUAAUCUAGCAACAUUUAGCAACUGUUUUAGCUACUUUCGGUUGAAAGCAGUUGGCAACACUGGUCAGUGUUUUUUUCCCUCAUAUUUGAAUGG